rnacentral:rRNA from 1 species
UACGUAGGUGACAAGCGUUGUCCGGAUUUACUGGGCGUAAAGAGCGCGCAGGCGGUCGUUCAAGUCGAGUGUGAAAGCCCCCGGCUCAACUGGGGAGGGUCACUCGAUACUGAUCGACUCGAAGGCAGGAGAGGGUAGUGGAAUUCCCGGUGUAGUGGUGAAAUGCGUAGAUAUCGGGAGGAACACCGGUGGCGAAGGCGGCAUCCUGGACCGGCAUUGACGCUGAGGCGCGGAAGCUAGGGGAGCAAACGGG